AUUGAACGCUGGCGGAAUGCUUUACACAUGCAAGUCGAACGGCAGCACGGGGGCAGCCCUGGUGGCGAGUGGCGAACGGGUGAGUAAUACAUCGGAACGUGCCCGGUCGUGGGGGAUAACGUAGCGAAAGUUACGCUAAUACCGCAUACGAUCUGAGGAUGAAAGCGGGGGACCUUCGGGCCUCGCGCGAUCGGAGCGGCCGAUGUCAGAUUAGGUAGUUGGUGGGGUAAAGGCCUACCAAGCCGACGAUCUGUAGCUGGUCUGAGAGGACGACCAGCCAAACUGGGACUUGGACACGGCCCAGACUCCUACGGGAGGCAGGAGUGGGGAAUUUUGGACAAUGGGCGGAAGCCUGAUCCAGCCAUUCCGCGUGCAGGACGAAGGCCUUCGGGUUGGAAACUGCUUUUGUACGGAACGAAAAGGCUCUGGCUAAUACCUGGGGCUCAUGACGGUACCGUAAGAAUAAGCACCGGCUAACUACGU
rnacentral:rRNA from 1 species